CCUACGGGAGGCAGCAGUGGGGGAUAUUGGACAAUGGGGGGAACCCUGAUCCAGCGACGCCGCGUGAGUGAAGAAGUAUUUCGGUAUGUAAAGCUCUGUCAGCAGGGAAGAAAGAAAUGACGGUACCUGACCAAGAAGCCCCGGCUAACUACGUGCCAGCAGCCGCGGGAAUACGUAGGGGGCAAGCGUUAUCCGGAAUUACUGGGUGUAAAGGGAGCGUAGACGGUUAAGUAAGUCUGGAGUGAAAGGCCGGGGCCCAACCCCGGGACUGCUCUGGAAACUAUUGAACUUGAGUGCAGGAGAGGUAAGCGGAAUGCCUAGUGUAGCGGUGAAAUGCGUAGAUAUUAGGAGGAACACCAGUGGCGAAGGCGGCUUACUGGACUGUAACUGACGUUGAGGCUCGAAAGCGUGGGGAGCAAACAGGAUUAGAUACCCGAGUAGUC
rnacentral:rRNA from 1 species